GACGAACGCUGGCGGCGUGCUUAACACAUGCAAGUCGAACGGAAAGGCCCUGCUUUUGUGGGGUGCUCGAGUGGCGAACGGGUGAGUAACACGUGAGUAACCUGCCCUUGACUUUGGGAUAACUUCAGGAAACUGGGGCUAAUACCGGAUAGGAGCUCCUGCUGCAUGGUGGGGGUUGGAAAGUUUCGGCGGUUGGGGAUGGACUCGCGGCUUAUCAGCUUGUUGGUGGGGUAGUGGCUUACCAAGGCUUUGGCGGGUAGCCGGCCUGAGAGGGUGACCGGCCACAUGGGGACUGAGAUACGGCCCAGACUCCUACGGGAGGCAGCAGUGGGGAAUAUUGCACAAUGGGCGGAAGCCUGAUGCAGCAACGCCGCGUGCGGGAUGACGGCCUUCGGGUGGUAAACCGCUUUCGCCUGUGACGAAGCGUGAGUGACGGUAAUGGGUGAAGAAGCACCGGCUAACUACGUG
rnacentral:rRNA from 1 species